AAAAAUUACGUGUAUAUUACAGAAGGCCGCCUAUCUAAUGUUCUUAAUUCUCCCAAAAGUCCUACUCGUGAUCUCUCCCCUUUCCUCAAACACAAAAUCACGAUUGCCAUCUUUUUAUAUUCGCGAAAUUGUCGAGGCGUCGUGAAACUACAGCAUCCUAAUGAGAUUUUUCUUCUGGACUCGCUUCAUAUACCUUUCAAGCGUUCCAAUCAAUUCAUCUCGAAGUUCAUAGUCGCGCUCGAUUAGCGGAUAAGCCAAUUCCAGCAUGACGCAGAGAAUCGAAAGGGGAGAUGACCUGGUUGGUGUUAGACUAUUCUAGAAUUCUAAACAUUACCAAAAUUUAGGCCUCCUUUCAUACACCAUCGGCUGUCAUAUCUAAUCUGUUCUCUAGUCAAUAAUACCAUUGUUGAUAAUUCUCGAUAUUUUAGUCAAGGUUACUAAGUUUCGGGUAAGUUCUAUUCACCUAUGAUUCGGUGCUAUUCUCGAUUGAAAUUCUGGUUGUCUGCCUUUAAAAUGGUUGCAAACUUUUGUUCCAUCCUAUUCUAUUCCUACCAACUGUUUGAUUAAAUGCUUUAGAGGAUUAAUUAACAUUUAUUGGAUUUGCACUUUCGUAGCUAAUCAUUUUUCUCAUAACUAGAGAGAAACGAAUUUAUUUUUAUCAGUAUAGCAGCUUGAUUAUAAUCCUUUUACAUUUCUCAAAAAAAGGAAUAUAAUUCUUUUGUAUAGAUGACAUUCUCAUAACUACUUGAGGUUGUAUAAGUACACUUCAUGAUUUGUCUACCAUUCCAUUCUUCUUCAUAUGCUACGUGUGACACUAGUUGAGGCUAUCUAAGUACUGCCCCUUGACACUAUGUUAACGAUACCUGUUGCACUUGCAACAGCAGAGCUUCAUUAUGAAGCACCGAGCUGGAAAUUGUAGUACUACAUCUCUUGGUAAGAAGUUAAACAAAUCAAAUAUCAAAAGUCAGCCCUUUUGCUGCAUCUUUUCAUGUUGAAAUAAUUUUGUAUGGUACUGAUUAGAUUAUUGACAUUGCUUGGGUGUUCAAUUUGUUCUUACAACUACAGAACCUGAAAUUCAUUUACCACAUACGACAUACUGAUGCACCAGUCGAUGCAAAAGGUAAUUAAUCAAAUUAUAGGACAAUCUUUGCAUCAAUAGAUAGUUUAUUUAAUUAUUUAUUCCCGACACCUACUCUAUAUUGAUCCAGUGAAAUGAUACUCUAUAAUCUAAUUAUUUGUUUCACUGUAAAAGACCUAAGACUAAGAUAUAAUGUAACACUGCAGACUAAUAUUUGUAAUAUUGUUUCUCUUUGCUUUAGCUUACAGAAAGCAUUAUCCAUCAUUCUUGGAAUAAUGAAAUAUGAUGGUUAGAAAAAGAUUGCUCAAGAUGUGUAUCCACCUAAACGGCUGGCUGAGAAGGGAAUAUCAUUUGUGAAAAACUUCCUUCAGCUGUAUGUAACUCCAUCUCUAUUAAUGGAAUGAUCUUUUCCAUAAGCUAAUGAUGCUGAAUUUAUACAUUUCUCUUGAGCUUCUAAUAUUGAAUCGUUUUUAUGUUUUCUUGCAGAAGGUAGGAACCACAUGACUUAUCUAUACUUCUUCAAGAUAGUGUACGAGGUACAAUCAUGUUAUUCUUUCCGCUACUUAGUAGUUUCCUAAAUUACCUUAGUGAUGAUUCCAUUCUUUUUUUGUUUCAGUUCUUGGAACAACACCUUAGAGAAUAUGAGCAACUAAUAUAAAGGAAUCCUCCACUUGGGAAAGCAUGGACACUAAAGCUUUUCCAUCAAAAGGACGAUACUAAAGCUAUGACUGGGUAGAUUGUUAUGGAAGUUUAAGGGAAAAGUUAUGUAAUUGUAUGUGAAGUAACUCUGUAUUUGAUUCAAAUUGUUUGUAAUAUACUGAAAGUAUUGAAAUAAGAAUAGAUGUUAUUGUGAAUAAAUUGUUGUUACUUAUUGAUUUCUUUUAAUAUAAAAAU
rnacentral:lncRNA from 1 species